rnacentral:rRNA from 1 species
GAUGAACGCUGGCGGCGUGCCUAAUACAUGCAAGUCGAGCGAACAGACGAGGAGCUUGCUCCUCUGACGUUAGCGGCGGACGGGUGAGUAACACGUGGAUAACCUACCUAUAAGACUGGGAUAACUUCGGGAAACCGGAGCUAAUACCGGAUAAUAUAUUGAACCGCAUGGUUCAAUAGUGAAAGACGGUUUUGCUGUCACUUAUAGAUGGAUCCGCGCCGCAUUAGCUAGUUGGUAAGGUAACGGCUUACCAAGGCAACGAUGCGUAGCCGACCUGAGAGGGGGCUCGGCCACAAUGGACAUGAGCCACGGGCCAGCCCCCCAGGGGAGGCAGCAGGGGGGGAUUUGCCGGAAGGGGCGAAAGUGUUAAGGCGAAACCACGCGGGAGUGAGGAAGGUCUGCGGAGCGUAAAACUUUUUUAUUAGGGAAAAAAAAAUGUGUAAGUAAAAAGCCCCGGCUGGAGGGGACCAAAACAAAAAGCCGCGGCGAACUACGG